AAUUUUGGACAAUGGGGGAAACCCUGAUCCAGCCAUCCCGCGUGUAUGAUGAAGGCCUUCGGGUUGUAAAGUACUUUUGGCAGAGAAGAAAAGGUAUCUCCUAAUACGAGAUACUGCUGACGGUAUCUGCAGAAUAAGCACCGGCUAACUACGUGCCAGCAGCCGCGGUAAUACGUAGGGUGCAAGCGUUAAGCGGAAUUACUGGGCGUAAAGGUGGGGAAGGCGGUCGGAAAAGAAAGAGGGGAAAGCCAGGGGUUAAACCUGGGAAUUGAAUUUUAAAUGGCCAGGUUAGAGUAGGCCAGAGGGGGGUAGAAUUCAAGGGGUAGCGGUGAAAUGCGUAGAAAGUGGAAGGAAAACCAUGGGCGAAGGAGGCCCCUGGGAUAAUACUGACGCUCAGACACGAAAGCGUGGGGAGCAAACA
rnacentral:rRNA from 1 species